CCUAACGUUACACUUUAAGCUGAAGUGCGUAGCUGCUUGUUUAAAUGCAAUAACUGAUUUAAAUUCGUUAAAACCGCUUUCACGUUCACAAUACUAAUAUAGAUCUAGUUUGUGCUUUAUUUAAAGUCUAGUUUGUCUUUUACAGCAUCGUAUAGUGAUUUGUUUGUGUCGGCUGUUCACCACCAAGCGGUUAAUCAUUGUGCUACAGUUUAAUGAUCUUUCAGACAUGUUUGGAAAUGCGUGUUUUAUUUUACUCUACAAAUUUGAGAGUACAACCAUCUUUAUAUCGACACAACAGCAGUGUAAUUUACAUAAAUAGCCAUACGUAAUGCUUAAACGAGAAGUCAGAUAAAGGGUGGAGGUGUAUAAGUAACCUUUUCCGUCUUCAUGUAAGCUAUAUAUAUACAGGGGCGGUUCUAGGGUGAGUGGAGAUCCGGGGCNGAUGCAUGGUGGUAAUAAAAACAUUCGGGGCUUUACUGAAAACAUAUAAUAAUAUAUAUAUGCCACAUACCAAGUUCUCUGUCAGAGAAACACACACACCUAUUGUCCCUUUUUUCAGAUGUCUGCAAACCUCAGUCUAACCCAGUUUACUAUUUUCCAGCACCUGAUGGGUGAUGUGACAUAUGUUUUGGUGUCCUUAAGUCCAAUGAAGAAACAUGGAUCAUGGAAGAGCAUAUUCCUCGAGAAACGCCCUCUUGUGCUCGUUUCCAGUGUUGCAUAUGAGAAGUAUUUCCUGUAACACGCGUCCCAAUGUGCAUACUAUCCAUCCUAAAAUCUAUGUGAUAUAGUAAUUUUCAAUACUAUUUAGGGCAGAUAGGGUGGAUAGUAUUCACAUUGGGACGCAGGGUAAGUAUCUAAUUUUUAAAACAUUGUUAAAGUAAUGCAGUAUACUUUAGAUCACAUCACAUGAUAUAUGUAGAGAAUCAGUAUGUACUCAUUUAUUCCUGUUUUUCACCACAUUAUUACUUGAAUAUUGAAAUUAUAGACUAGAAACGACUAUUAGCACUGAUUGGAGCACCAAAAGAAUUUUUUUAUUCCUGUUUUUGCACCAAUUUCUUACUUGAAUAUUAAAAUGAUAGACUAGAAAUGACUAGUAUACACACUGGAGCACUAGUAGUAAAUUUUAAUACAAUGCAGUUGAUUAAUGAAAAAUUAAACUGCAGAAAAGUGAGGGGAAGGUAAUGGCAUUAAAACUGAUAAGAAAUGUCCAGGUUCAUUUCACCCCAAAAUCAAAAGGAAAAUAAGAAAUAAUAUUUUGCUUAAAGAAAAUUACGAUUAUUCUUAGGAACUUUUAUUUAUAUAUUUAAGAUACGAUUCUUUUAGGAUUCAUUUUAUUUUAUUUGUUUUACAAAAUAGAAUCUAUUUUGUGUGUGUGUGUGUGUGUGUGUGUGUGUGUGUGUGUGUGUGUGUGUAGAUUUUUGGAGCAAACAUGACCUGUUUAUAUGAGCGUCACUCAGUUUUCAAUGUUGAAAAAAUUUAAUUAUUAUUAUUAUUUUUUUGUUACUGUUAAUAUUUCCCAGGCAGAGCAUUUAUUAAAGAUGACUGCAAUGCUGUAGCAUUUGCUUCGGUUUAAGAAAAAGGUUAAGCUGUGUUUAGUUCCUUCAGUUUCUGCAGAGCUGAUGCGAGGUGAACUUUGCCCUCUAUCUGAGUGUUACGCGUGACCUCGCUGACCUUCAGAGGACUCAGAUUCAGAUCAAAGAUGAGGCUGUAGUUCUGUAGCAGGCGUUUGGCUAGGUCUC
ensembl:lncRNA